GUGAACUCCGGGAGUUGGUGAUGGACAGGGAGGCCUGGUGUGCUGCGAUUCAUGGGUCGCAAAGAGUCGGACACGACUGAGCGACUGAACUGAACUGAUAGCCGAUUAACAAUGUUGUAAUAGUUUCAAGGGGACAGUAAAUGGACUCAUCCAUACAUAUACAUGUAUGCAUUCUCCCCCAGACUCCCCUGCCAUCCCGGUUGUAAUGUUUCUUUGGAACACUGCCGUGCCCAUUCACUUGUGUAUUUUCUGUGGCUGUGUUCCUGCUACAGCGGCUUAGUUGAGUAGUUGUGACAGAGAUCAUACAGAGAGAUUUUUGAAAAGAAAGGCCCUGGCCAAGCUGAAAUUCUGGGGAGGUGCAAGUUCAACAGCUCAGCAAUCCUUAGAAUGAGAAAAGCUUUUAAACAAAAUUAAAAGCUUGAAAGUACAGCAGUUGAGUAUCAAGUUCAUCUGACUUUGCUUCUCUUUAGAUUUUUACUUGGAUCAUAAUUACACUUUUGUUUAUCGUAAAGUAGUGGGGCACUAUAAUGCUGUUUGGCAUAAUUCAGUUAAUUAUUGUUUGAUAUAAAUACAUGCAUUUAAAAUAUAUAUAUUUCAUGUUUUGAGAAUGUGGUAUUGCUAUUGGUUUCCCUUCAGCUGGUAUUAAGUGGUUUUGAUGAGCAUCUUUGAGAAUUUAUGGAAAGAUUUUUUAACUACUUCACCCAUAAUGAAUAAAUUAUACUAAUCACAGAAUUUGAUGAAUUGUCUUGCUUUUUGUCUUUGAACUUGAAAGGUUAAACUUUAGUUAGCCUGUUGAUAUAGAUGAAUGAAAUUUUUAGUCAUUAAAAUCAACAGAUAUUCCUUCUACUAAUUUUAGAAAAAGUCUUUCACAAGUACCUAAUAGUAUCUUUGUUAAGUACCAUCGUUAAGCAAAUGUUUUGGCCUAGGGACAUAAAUAUUCAUUUUGAUUAGUAAAGAGAAGACAGGGAAGAUUUAAUAAUUUAAGAUAUUAUUGUCCUUAGCAUAUUAAAAGUGCUGUUUUGAAAAUUUACAUGUAAAAUGCUUUAUACAUUUAUUGAUGUGCUCAUUAAUUUUCACUGUCUUGAGUUUUGAGUACUCUUACAACUGUUGUUAGCUUGGCUUGAAGUUUCCAUGUCCCAGAAUAACUUUUAAGCCUUAAGUGGUUAAAGGCACUUAAGAAUAUAAUGGUCUUCUUUUAAUAUACCUGAUUUGCCCUUGGUAUUGAAAGAAGCAUAUGGAAGUGUUAAUCAGUCAACAGCCUUUUUGUUUUCCAUGAUAAGACAAAGGAAAAA